rnacentral:RNase_P_RNA from 2 species
CAAGAAGAGCAGCCUGUUGAUUCCCGUUUAGGCGGGGGUAGGAAAGUCCGGACACCACAGGGCAGCAAAGCGGGUAACGCCCGCCGGUCGUGAGAUCAGGACCAGUGCAACAGAAAGUAUGUAUAUUAAUUUAUAGUGAAACCAGGUAAACUCUUUGCGGUGCAAUGUUAAGUAUAUCAUCAGUUAAGGGUGGCCCGUCCGUUGAUGAGGGGUAAACAGCUAAAGUUUUGCAGCAAUGUAAAGCGCAGAUAAAUAACAGGCAGCCGCUCCGGCGGUUACAGAAUCCGGCUUACAGCUUUUCUUGUGGU